rnacentral:lncRNA from 1 species
GACAUGUCCAGCCUUUACCAGCAGGGACUCAACCUUUCUACAUUUGCUUUUCUCUUCUUUGUUUCUUACCAGUCGCUAUUAUAAGCCCAAACAUCAUGCUAGACAUAGUUUAUACUUACUCAUUUUUUCUCUGCAGGUAGAUUUUUAGACCCUUCCAAUAUUUCUGUGAGUGCUUAUAAUUCUCAACUUUCUCCGUGGCUAUCACCAAACAGUGGCUGGUUAGGCUUUAGUGCACAUGUGGUUGCUAUGAAUUUCUUGGCUGCAGGUGACUCAAAAGUACUGGAGGAUUUAGGAAAUAAGAUAGCUUUUGUAUCUCCAGGGGGGGAAAGGCCUAACUUCUGUUACUCCAUUGAAGAAUGCAAUUUAACAGACGCUUAUGCUUUGCGGGCAGCCAAAACUCUAUAUAAGUACCUGCAGUCCAGAAAGCCAGCAUCCACGCUAGUUGAUACUCCUGUGUACGACACAGAUGAAGGCACAGCAACCCUUCUAAUGUGGAAGGCCUAUCGGGCAGCUGUCAAUUUUGGAUUAUCAAAGUUCAGUGACAGGUCCUGGUAUUCUUCCGACUCUGAGAGAAAAUUCGCCCUGGACUUCCUAACCACCAUGGAGUUUUGUGAGGCCACAAUAUACCCCUCACACUUUAAUAGUUCAAAAGAAUUCCUUGUAGGUUUCCCACACAGGCAGCUCAAAGACAGAGAGAAUCCAGUUGUGGAAAAGGAUUUCAGCCUACGGGAAAAAGCGUUUUAUGCUUCAGUAACUCUUUUCUAAGCUAAAUAAAAUCACAGAUGGCCUGUUUUUAUUCUUUUGGAAGACGACUAUGAUUUAUUCAGAGAAAAGUCAUGCUUUAGGACGUUUCAUUAUUAAUAGGCUACUCUUAGAACCCAUUUUUAACUAGUCUGAAAUGAUUUCAUUACAAGAUGGAAAUUUUAAAUCCAUACUGAGAAGCAAAUAAAUGUUAUAGUCACUAUUCUAUAAUUUUUCUGGCUUUUCUAUCCAUUCUGUGCCUUUAUAUGUCAAUUUAUUGGGUAGUAAUAAUUUCAGCCCAACAGCUACAUACUUAACUAAAAAUUAACUGAUUGUAUUGAAUGCCUGA